rnacentral:lncRNA from 10 species
GCCUCCCCAGCCAUGUGGAACUGGCUCAGUGUGGUCAAAAGAAGACUAUAGAAUCAAGGAUGAAGAGAAGGAACACAGAAUAAAAGGACGUCUCAGCAGGAAGCUCUGUGACUACUAUGUGUGAGUAAUUCUUACAAUACAGCAAAUGAUGCCAUACAGUGAAGCACCUUGAAAGAUUGCUGGGAUAAGCUGACAGCAUGGCAGCCAAAAUAGUGACCCCAGGCUUGCAGGAAUUCUGUGCUUUCUGGAGGAAAUGGUCAUGGGUUUCCCAACCUGCCUUUUAAACUAAGGUAAGUCUCUUAUAAAGACCUUUAUGAGAACUGUUUGAGCCCUCAUGACACUGCAAAUCCAUCUGAGAUGAUGACUGGGACCUUCACUGCCACUGUCUUCAUUCUCAUGGGUGUUGCCUGGCUCUUUGGCAUUCAGAGCUAGCUCUCAGUUGCUUUGGUGCAUUAAUAGAACCACUAUGCCUGUAGAUUUGAAGAAAAAUUGACAUGGAGAAUUUAUCUAAGAAAUCAGUAAGUAAAACUUGUAAAAAUCAUUUUACAAGUUGUAAGAUAGAAGAAAUUGAAAUUCUGUCCAACAAGAACUUAUUCAAUGCUGACUUUGUGCCAGGCAUUUUGCCAGGUGCUUGUUAUACAAUGAUGAAUAACACUUAGGCCCAUUCUCAAGGAGCAGUGGGAGGUGCUGGGGAUGACACACACACAGAUAAUAUCAAGUGGCACCAAAUGCUAUGUCAGGGGCAGGCACAGGGUGCUAGGAGAGGAUAGCACAGACGAGAAGCAUUUAGCUCAUACCACAGGAUCUUCAGAAUGCUUCCUGAAGAAGCUGACAACUGAUUAGAUGCUAAAAAGACAGGCUGGAUCUAGGCAGGAAAAGAGGGGUUGAAAGGACAGCACAAGAAAAAGUUAAAGCAGAAGCAAGGGCAUGGGGGUGAAUAGAAAGCACUGUGUGAACCACCAGCCAUUAGGUGUGGCCCCAACAUAAAGUAUAAGGAGGAGAUGGAGGCAGGGUCGCAGAGGACCUUGAAUGCCAAGGUAGGGAACUCGAUCUU